UACAGAGGUCUCAAGCGUUGUUCGGAUUCAUUGGGCGUAAAGGGCGCGUAGGCUGCGGGGCAAGUCGGGUGUGAAAUCUCAGGGCUCAACCCUGAAACUGCACUCGAUACUGCUCUGCUUGAGGACUGGAGAGGAGACUGGAAUUCACGGUGUAGCAGUGAAAUGCGUAGAUAUCGGAAGGAACAUCAGUGGCGAAGGCGACUUUCUGGACAGAUACUGACACUGAGGCACGAAAGCGUGGGGAGCAAACAGG
rnacentral:rRNA from 1 species